AAUGGAACAGUGGCCCUCAUGUAACAGGCUACGUGGACUUUGCAGAAUCCGUAAAAGAUCAUCACCCAAUUCACGGUCAAUCAUUUCCCUGGGCUUCUUGGUCCAGUUGCCCACCUCCUUUACUGCCCUCUCUUACAACUCAACUCGAAUGUUGCCUCGAAUCGAUGGCCCAAACCAAUCAUUUCCUUGGUAUUCUUGGUCCAAUUGCCCACCUCCUUUACUUCCAUCUCUUACUGCCCGACUCGAAUGUUGCCUCGAAUCAAUGGCCCAAAAGGGCAUUAAGCUUGGAACUAUAAGCUCUCAUCAGAUUUUCACUGUUUUGAGUAAAUGGCAUGGAC
rnacentral:lncRNA from 1 species